rnacentral:tRNA from 1 species
UCCCUGGUGGUUCAGUGAUUAGGACUCUGUGCUGCUACUGCAGACGGCAUGGGUUCAAUCCCUGGUUGGGGAA